rnacentral:lncRNA from 1 species
UCUUGCCGCUGCCAUGAAAGGAGUGCUUUUUGCCUCCCACCAUGAUUCUGAGGCCUCCCCAGCCAUGUAGAAUUAGCCAGCCUGUUUUUGAUGAAGAGCAACUGUACUGGAGAGAAAGCCUGUAUUCAUAUUCAUCGUCAUCAGGCAAAUCGAGGAGCUGACUUGCUUAGGAUCACGAGUCACUGAUUCAGAGGACCAUUUACAGUCAUCACCUGGCAGCGUGCAUGGGGCGAUUGGUUCCAGGUCACCCCUGUAUCAAAACCCGCAGAUACCAAAAUCCAGGGAUGCAUACCUCUCGGUCUGCUGGUUGAAUCCAUGGAUGCAGAACCCCAGAUUCGGAGGGCUGAAUGUACUUUCGAUAGGUUCCUGAGCAGCAGUGAUUAUAGUCACAGCAGACUGGACAGUUUGGUGAGCAAGUUCAGGGGCUGGCUUAGUGAUUCAUAGUUCUUUCUUCCUCCUCCCCCAGCAGUUUUGUUUCAGCAGUGAUUUGGUCAAAUGUGAACCACAAACCAGCAGCAAAAGCAUUUUCUAGGAACUUGUUAAAACUGGAAGGCCCAAGGUUGCACUCAGGCUUACUGAGUCAGUCACUCCAAGUGGACCCCAUCCCUAAACCUUGAGACUCACUGCUCCUCUUUUGAUCUGGGAGAGAAACAGAAAAAAGAAGGAAAAAAAAUCCCCAAUGUGAGUAUGCUGGAAAGUAAAUUUGAAUAGCUUUUUAUAUUGGGUACUUACUGUGGGUAAUUUACAAACUAUUGGAAGGAACCACAAAUUCAAACACAGCCAAAUUUAAGGUCUCUUUAGCAGAAAUCAAUCUUACAUCAUGGCAGUUCUCCCAUUCUCCAGUCUUUCACUUGAUAGAUCACUUCCUCAUUAGGAUGACCUACAGCAAUUCUACAUGAACUGCUCUUUACAUUUAAACAGUGCUUUCUGUCCUAACAUGUCAAAAUGCUUGACAAGCAAUCAAAAGGUAGCUCACUAAUUUUUUCAACUCAUGG